GAUUAACGCUAGCGGCAGGCAUAAUACAUGCAAGUUGAACGGCAGCACAGGUAGCAAUACUGGGUGGCGAGUGGCGCACGGGUGCGUAACACGUAUGCAACCUACCCUAUACAGGCGAAUAACCUUUAGAAAUGAGGGCUAAUACGCCGUAGUAUUACAGAUGGGCAUCUAUUUGUAAUUAAAGAUUUAUCGGUAUAGGAUGGGCAUGCGUCCCAUUAGUUAGUUGGUAAGGUAACGGCUUACCAAGACGAUGAUGGGUAGGGGAUCUGAGAGGACUUACCCCCACACUGGUACUGAGACACGGACCAGACUCCUACGGGAGGCAGCAGUAAGGAAUAUUGGGCAAUGGCCGCGAGGCUGACCCAGCCAUGCCGCGUGCAGGAAGACGGCCUUAUGGGUUGUAAACUGCUUUUAUACGGGAAGAAUAGAGUGUACGCGUACAUUUAUGCAAGUAUCGUAUGAAUAAGCAUCGGCUAACUCCGUG
rnacentral:rRNA from 1 species